UUGGACCACACUUUCUUGUCUAAGGAAUGGCAGAGCAGAUUAAUGGUGCAUUCCUACAGUUCCUGGUGGCCUUCAUGCUCUUGGCUCAGUGCCCCUCUCUGCAGCUUGUUACUUGUUGCCUCUGCACACUGAAGGAUAAGCAUCUCUCUCCUUCUUGGCACCCUGCCAUGGCUGGGCUUUAUCCACAGGUGUCUUGUGACAGAAGCUGGCACCACGGGAAUAUUUUUCAUGAAGAUGCCACAAUCCAUGCACCCUCCAGGAGCAAUGCCAGGGGCUGUUUUCCAUAAUCAGGUAUGAGGAAGAAUACAAUAUGGUGAUGCUGCCCAAACUUCUACAGCCACCCUUGACAACUGCAAAAGAUGUGCAAGAACUUAGUAGAGCCCUUGACCCAGCUGAAGAAGAUAACAUGUGAGUAG